AAGGCGGCGCCGAAGACAAAAACUGAGGAUCAGGUGCGAAAGCGUGGGGAGAAAACAGGAUUAGAUACCCUGGUAGUCCACGCCGAAAACGAUGUCGACUGGAGGUUGUUCCCUUGAGGAGUGAGUUCCGGAGCUAACGCGUUAAGUCAACCGCCUGGGGAGUUCGGCCGCAAGGUUAAAACUCAAAUAAAUUGUCGGGGGCCCGCACAAGCGGUGGAGCAUGUGGUUUAAUUCGAUGCAACGCGAAGAACCUUACCUACUCUUGACAUCCAGGGAAUUUGGCAGAGAUGCUUUGGUGCCUUCGGGAACGGUGAGACAGGUGCUGCAUGGCUGUCGUCAGCUCGUGUUGUGAAAUGUUGGGUUAAGUCCCGCAACGAGCGCAACCCUUAUCCUUUGUUGCCAGCGAUUCGGUCGGGAACUCAAAGGAGACUGCCGGUGAUAAACCGGAGGAAGGUGGGGAUGACGUCAAGUCAUCAUGGCCCUUACGAGUAGGGCUACACACGUGCUACAAUGGCGCAUACAAAGAGAAGCGACCUCGCGAGAGCAAGCGGACCUCACAAAGUGCGUCGUAGUCCGGAUCGGAGUCUGCAACUCGACUCCGUGAAGUCGGAAUCGCUAGUAAUCGUGGAUCAGAAUGCCACGGUGAAUACGUUCCCGGGCCUUGUACACACCGCCCGUCACACCAUGGGAGUGGGUUGCAAAAGAAGUAGGUAGCUUAACCUUCGGGAGGGCGCUACCACUUGGAUUAGGGGGG
rnacentral:rRNA from 1 species